rnacentral:rRNA from 1 species
GCCAGCAGCCAUGUCCACCCUGCAGUCACCGCUGGCAGCCCACGGCAGCUCAGCAGUUUGAGCCUGGCCAGUACCUGGCUGGGAGACCUCCUGGGAAAGCUAAGGUUGCUGCUGGAA